AACGAACGCUGGCGGCAUGCCUAACACAUGCAAGUCGAACGAAGGCUUCGGCCUUAGUGGCGCACGGGUGCGUAACGCGUGGGAAUCUGCCCUUAGGUUCGGAAUAACAGUUAGAAAUGACUGCUAAUACCGGAUGAUGACGUAAGUCCAAAGAUUUAUCGCCUGAGGAUGAGCCCGCGUAGGAUUAGCUAGUUGGUGUGGUAAAGGCGCACCAAGGCGACGAUCCUUAGCUGGUCUGAGAGGAUGAUCAGCCACACUGGGACUGAGACACGGCCCAGACUCCUACGGGAGGCAGCAGUGGGGAAUAUUGGACCAUGGGCGCAAGCCUGAUCCAGCAAUGCCGCGUGAGUGAUGAAGGCCUUAGGGUUGUAAAGCUCUUUUACCCGUGAUGAUAAUGACAGUAGCGGGAGAAUAAGCCCCGGCUAACUCCGUG
rnacentral:rRNA from 1 species